GGAUCUCUCUAUCUCCAUUUUGAUAACUAACUAUAUAUGCAUCUCAGUUGAAUGGUAGCUGGGGGUGUGACCAAAGAAAGGCUGGUGCAUUACCAUACUCUCUAGCUACUAGCUAUUAGCUUUAGGUAUGUACAGUUUGUAUCUUGUACUAGUAGCUAGCUAGUGUCCUCCCUUCUCCCAUCACAAGUUAUGGAUCCACCACCACCUUCCGACGAGCCGCUCCUCCCUCCACCCCCACCGCCAACACCUCCCCCACCGCCCUCUGACGGAGGAUUCCUUGAGUCAUGCCUGUGGUGUCUCUGCUGCUGUGGUCUAUUUGCAAGCUGCUGCCCUCCACUGUUUGAGCCAGGGCCUCCACCUCCCUAGCUAGCUAGCGAUGCAUUCUCAAUUUUUUGCCUCGUUUUUGAGAUGUGUUUGUGUAUGCAUGUGCUAGGAAUACAGAGAACAGUUUCUGAUUGAACUUAAGAUUCAUUGUUGUUGUCUUUCUGUUCUUUUAAUGGGUUUGAACCCACACUUUUCUGAUGGGGGAGCUAGCUUGAUACUUUAGUGCAAUUAAAGUUCUUAUUCCAUUUAUUUGCAUGAAUAAGUGGCAGCUUUAGUCACAACUGCAGAUUGUACCGCUCCAAUGUGACUUCUUUAAUUGUGCUUUAUAGAAAAAAGAAUGAGGCAUCUUUGAGUGCUGUGGAUUAUUUA